rnacentral:lncRNA from 1 species
AAAGAGGGCCUGGUUCCAGUGCCUCAGUUGCAAAAUGACCAGCGUUCAGUGGGAAGGGCCAAUGGUGCCUGCAGCCCCUCUGGGAAUCCCACCCAUGAGGGGUCAGCACCAGGGAGAACACUGGCCUGGAGUUGUGCAGACCCUUCUCCCCAACGAGCGAGACUGAGCCCAGGAUCAUCCCCCAUCCACCUGCAACCCCCGGCCCCCACCCACCUAUGCUGGACAUUCAUGAUGCGGCCACCGGAGACCCUGACACAUGUCACCGCCCCGCCUUCCUUCAAGGACCCCCACCAUGGGAGGAUAGUCCCAGGCCUGGUGCCCUCCGUCCUCCCUUCCUCCUCUUCUGUUCCCUCCCACUUCUCAGUCCCCUCCCCCUCCUCCAUCCCUCUUCCUGCUCCAAGGAGGAGUGGGGCAGAGUGGGAGGCAGAGCAACAGCCUCCAAAGACCUCCUAGUCCUUGGAACCUGUGAAAUGUGACCUUACGUGGCAGAAGGGACUUGGCGGAUGGAUUAAGUGAAGGAUCCUGAGAUGGGGGUGUUGUCCUGGUUUCUCCAGAUGGGCCCAGUGUCAUCACAAGGGUCCUCAUAAGAGGGAGCAAGAGAAUCAAGAGGAGAUGUGACCACCGAACCAAAGUUUGGAGCGAUGCACUUUGAAGAUAGAGGAAGGUGCCAUGAGCCAAUGAUGCAAGCAGCCUCUUGAAGCUGGAAAAGGGUCGAGAGAAGUUGUGAAGUGUCCCAUGCACCCUCUACCUAGCCCCCACAGUGGCUGCAGUACAACACCCCAGCAGGGAAUGGACGUCAGUGCAACACACAGAUCUCGUUGAGUCCACUGUCUGCAAACACGUGUGUGCAUGUGCAGCACCAUGUGGUUUCAUCACAUGUGACUCCAUGUACCUGUGGCCACAACCAAGACACAAAAGUGUUGGGUCACCACAAGACUUUUUAUAGGCACCACCAUCCCUAAGCCCUGGAAACCACUCAUCUAUUCUCCCUUGCUGCAAUCACAUUGUCUGACAAGUGGUAUGUAAUUGGAUUGUGCAGCACGUAUCUUUUUGAGAUUGGCUUUUUCACUCACCAUGCUUUGCUUGAGGUUCAUCCAAGUUGCUGUGUCAGAGAUUCAUUCCUUCUUAUUGCUGAAUAGUAUGCCCCGGACAUGGAGGGUCCACAGUCUGUUUAAUCAUCCACCAUCCGAGGGCAUCUGGAUAGCUU